rnacentral:rRNA from 1 species
GACGAACGCUGGCGGCGUGCCUAAUACAUGCAAGUAGAACGCUGAAGAGAGGAGCUUACUCUUCUUGGAUGAGUUGCGAACGGGUGAGUAACGCGUAGGUAACCUGCCUUGUAGCGGGGGAUAACUAUUGGAAACGAUAGCUAAUACCGCAUAACAAUGGAUGACACAUGUCAUUUAUUUGAAAGGGGCAAUUGCUCCACUACAAGAUGGACCUGCGUUGUAUUAGCUAGUGGGUGAGGUAAUGGCUCACCUAGGCGACGAUACAUAGCCGACCUGAGAGGGUGAUCGGCCACACUGGGACUGAGACACGGCCCAGACUCCUACGGGAGGCAGCAGUAGGGAAUCUUCGGCAAUGGGGGCAACCCUGACCGAGCAACGCCGCGUGAGUGAAGAAGGUUGUCGGAUCGUAAAGCUCUGUUGUAAGUCAAGAACGGGUGUGAGAGUGGAAAGUUCACACUGUGACGGUAGCUUACCAGAAAGGGACGGCUAACUACGUG